rnacentral:piRNA from 1 species
UGUGAAUAUCGAGAACCUUGUGC